AUUACUCCACACUAAUUAGCGGCUCAAGAAACAUUUGUUUAUCAUCAUUUGAAAACUCAGUUAAUAUGUUUGUGGAAACCGUGAACCAUUUUUUUUUCAGGAUUCUUUGAUGAAUAGAAAAUUCAAAAGAACAGCAUUUGAAAUAGAAAUCUUUUGAAACAUUAUAAAUUGUUACUGACGCCAAACGUUUGGUCGGUAGGGUUAGGGGAGUUCAUAUAUUAUGUAAACUGUGAAUAAAAUAAGCAUCCCUACAUUCAUAUCACACUCAA